UAGCUUUAAGAAAUUAUUUAAAGUUUUACCUGCCCAGUGGUAUUCUUAACGGCCGCAGUACUUUGACUGUGCUAAGGUAGCAUAAUAAAUUGGCUUUUAAUUAAAGUCGGGUAUGAAAGGGGUUUCGGAAAGUGACUGUCUCAAGUAUAUAUAUAUAAUUUUAAUUUAAUUAAUGGGUGAAAAUUCCCAUAGAAUUUUUUAUUAGACGAGAAGACCCUAAGAGUUAUAAUUAAAAUGAAUUAAUCUCAUAUAUCAUUUUUGUUGGGGCAACAUUGACCGGAUAAAACCGUCAUUUAAAUAUUUUACGUAACCAAUUUAGUAAAAAAGAAAUAAACUACCUUAGGGAUAACAGCAUAAUUAAUUUUUUAGAUUGUGACCUCGAUGUUGGAUUAGGGACUUAAUUUACUAGCCGUAAAUUAAGAUAGUUCUGUUCGAACUGUAAUACCUU
rnacentral:rRNA from 1 species